rnacentral:rRNA from 1 species
GAUGAACGCUGGCGGCGUGCCUAAUACAUGCAAGUCGAGCGGACGGACGAGAAGCUUGCUUCUCUGUUGUUAGCGGCGGACGGGUGAGUAACACGUGGGUAACCUACUUAUCAGUCUGGUAUACCUUCGGGAAACCGGCGCUAAUAGCGUAUAAUCUUUUGAACCGCAUGGUUCAAGAGUAAAAGACGGUCUUGCAGUCACUUAUAGAUUGAUCCGCGCUGCAUUAGCUAGUUGGUAAGGAAACGGGUUACCAAGGCAACGAUGCAUAGCCGACCUGGGAGGCGGAUCGGCGACACGGGAACUGGGACAGGGUCCAGACGCCUACGGGAGGCAGCAGUAGGCAAUCUGAGGCAAUGGGCGAAAGCCUGACGGAGCAACGGCGCGUGAGUGAUGAAGGUCUUCGGACCGUAAAACUCUGUUAUUAGGGAAGAACAUAUGUGGAAGUAACUGUGCACAUCGUGACGGUACCUAAACAGAAAGCCACGGCUAACUACGUG